GGAAGUAAAAGUCGUAACAAGGUCUCCGUUGGUGAACCAGCGGAGGGAUCAUUACCGAGUUUACAACUCCCAAACCCAAUGUGAACGUUACCAAACUGUUGCCUCGGCGGGAUCUCUGCCCCGGGUGCGUCGCAGCCCCGGACCAAGGCGCCCGCCGGAGGACCAACCAAAACUCUUAUUGUAUACCCCCUCGCGGGUUUUUUACUAUCUGAGCCAUCUCGGCGCCCCUCGUGGGCGUUUCGAAAAUGAAUCAAAACUUUCAACAACGGAUCUCUUGGUUCUGGCAUCGAUGAAGAACGCAGCGAAAUGCGAUAAGUAAUGUGAAUUGCAGAAUUCAGUGAAUCAUCGAAUCUUUGAACGCACAUUGCGCCCGCCAGUAUUCUGGCGGGCAUGCCUGUCCGAGCGUCAUUUCAACCCUCGAACCCCUCCGGGGGGUCGGCGUUGGGGAUCGGCCCUUUACGGGGCCGGCCCCGAAAUACAGUGGCGGUCUCGCCGCAGCCUCUCCUGCGCAGUAGUUUGCACACUCGCAUCGGGAGCGCGGCGCGUCCACAGCCGUUAAACACCCCAAACUUCUGAAAUGUUGACCUCGGAUCAGGUAGGAAUACCCGCUGGACUUAAGCAUAUCAAUAAGCGGAGGA
rnacentral:rRNA from 1 species